rnacentral:rRNA from 1 species
UACGUAGGGUGCGAGCGUUGUCCGGAAUUAUUGGGCGUAAAGAGCUUGUAGGCGGUUUGUCGCGUCUGCUGUGAAAAUCCGGGGCUCAACCCCGGACUUGCAGUGGGUACGGGCAGACUAGAGUGUGGUAGGGGAGACUGGAAUUCCUGGUGUAGCGGUGGAAUGCGCAGAUAUCAGGAGGAACACCGGUGGCGAAGGCGGGUCUCUGGGCCAUAACUGACGCUGAGGAGCGAAAGCGUGGGGAGCGAACAGG